rnacentral:tRNA from 1 species
AGUAAAUAGCUAAUUAAAGUUUAUUAUUUACAUUAAUAAGAUACCUAAGGGUUUUGCUUUU